GCCUGGUUAGCUUAUAGUUGGUAGUGCGUCUGCCUCGUAAGCGCUAGGCCGCGGGUUCGAUUCCCGCCCGGGGCG
rnacentral:tRNA from 1 species